rnacentral:rRNA from 1 species
UUUUUAUGGAGAGUUUGAUCCUGGCUCAGGAUGAACGCUGGCGGCGUGCCUAAUACAUGCAAGUCGAGCGAACAGAUGAGGAGCUUGCUCCUCUGACGUUAGCGGCGGACGGGUGAGUAACACGUGGAUAACCUACCUAUAAGACUGGGAUAACUUCGGGAAACCGGAGCUAAUACCGGAUAAUAUAUUGAACCGCAUGGUUCAAUAGUGAAAGACGGUUUUGCUGUCACUUAUAGAUGGAUCCGCGCCGCAUUAGCUAGUUGGUAAGUAACGG